GGAAGCUGGAGCCGGACGCUCAUGUGAUUAAAAUGGACAAUAAAAGACUGUUUGCAGAAACCCAUUGCUGUAUCAUCGUUAUUCCAGGACUGCACUUCACAGUGGCGCCCAACUUGGCUGGGGGGAGGAGAUGACGGACGACGGAUACCAGCAGGAGAUGGCGGCCGUCCAGAGGGAGCAGGCAGAGGCGCAUCGGCAGUUCCUGGGGGCGCUCCAGGCCCAGGUGGGGACACCGGCCCGGGCGCCAUUUCCCCCAGCCCACGACCCACCGGCCCUGGGGAACUCAGGCACUCUUCCCAACCCACACAAAGGUUCUCAAGCGCCGGGGCAGGGGCUACGGGGGUGCGUUCACGACCGACAGGGUUAUGCGAGGUGUGUGCUCAGCUGUGACGCGGGGUCGUCCGACACUGCAGACUUUGAGGGGGAGCCCGCGGAGCCUCCCGUAGAGACUCAGUCGGCUCACGAGAUUCACUCCAUGGAAGAUUUUCCACUCUUCCACUCUAGUGACAUUACCCUACGCUCAGCCUACGACCAAGUGAUACGAAUUGAUGGUCACCUGGUGCGCCCUGACGCAGCGCAGUCAUUUCCGCACUUUUCAUUGAUUAAGGACAGACUGUAUAGUGAGUCGUGACACUCGGACGGGGCAGGAAAACACACAGUUGCUGGCCGAAAAGCCGCCGGGAAAUGAUUUCCCAGGCAGCCUACUAUAACCUGAUGGCUGGUCACAUGGGAUACGAGAACUCUAGACUGGAUUAUGACCCGAUUUUAUUGGCCAGGCAUCCGGGGCGACGUGCGCCACAGGUGCGCGUCCUGCCCGGAGUGUCAGUUCCGAGGGCGCCGUUACACCCUCUGCCGUUGGUGGAGGUUCCGUUCGAGCGGAUCGGUAUGGACCUCAUCGGGCCGUUUCACCGGAGCGCAUGCGGAUAUCACUUUGUUAGUUCUCAUGGAUUCCGCAACGCGAUAUCCGGAGGCAGUGCCGUUGCGUAAUAUCUCUGCAAGGAGCGGCUCUGUUUCAGGUCAUCUCCCGAGUUGGAAUCCCUAAGGAGAUUCUGACUGACCAGGGCACCUCGUUCAUGUUGCGCACACUGAGAACUUUACGGGUUACUGGGCAUUAGGUCCGUUCGUACGAGCGUGCAUCACCCGCAGAUGGAUGGGCUGGUGGAACGCAUGAAUAAGACUCAAGUUCAUGAUCCGUAAAUUUAUUACCGAUUAACAUAAUUGGGACCACUGACAUGACCCUCUGUUGUUUGCAGUGCGGGAUGUCCCCCAGGCCUCCACGGGAUUUUCUCCCUUUGAACUUUUUUUUGGCAGGACGCCGCGAGGGGUGCUGGACCUGAUUUAAAGAAAGCUGGGACGAAGGUCCAAGCCCCUGCAAGAAUGCGAUCCAGUACGUCCUGGACCUGCGAGCAAAACUCCACACACUGGGCCGGAUGUCACGAGAGAAUUUGCUGCAGGCCCAGGAGCGACAACAAUGGCUGUACGACAGAGGGGCCAGGCUGCGACGAUUCACACCGGGAGAAAAGGCCGGACCGACCUCAUAGUGCACAGUAUCGAGACGCUCCCGGGCGUGACAGUGAGGUCACGACCCUACAGGUUGCCCGAACACAAGAAAGAAGUGGUUCGGAGGGAAUUGGGGGUAAUAUAAGAGUCCAACAGUGCCUGGUGCAGAAGGAUGGAUCUGUACGGUUCUGCGUGGACUAUCGCAGGGUGAAUGACGUGUCACGGUUCAAUGCCUACCAAAUGCCCCGGCUCGACGAACUCUUGGACCGGCUAGGCACUGCACGUUUCUUCACGACACUGUAUCUAACCAAGGGCUACUGGCAGAUUCCUCUGUCGCCAGAGUCCAAGGAGAAAACUGCAUUCUCCACCCCGUACGGUUUGUACCAAUUUACCACACUUCCCUUCGGGUUGUUUGGGCAAUAAAAGACUGUAGAAACCCAUUGCUGUAUAAUCGUUAUUCCACGUUCCCCCCAAGGACUGUACUUCACACAUGGAUAUUCAAAAAUGCUUUUAUCAAGCAUUCACUUUACG
ensembl:lncRNA